rnacentral:misc_RNA from 1 species
GUCCAACUACCUAAUUGUACUAAAUAGUCUAAUUUUAAAAAUAUUACAGAUUUGAAAAUUCAAGAAGAUUUCAGAAAUUAUGUAUAAGCCUCAUCUGCGAACACAAUCCCCCUAUUUUUAUAACUUUAAUGAUUGAUGGUUCCCAUCGUGCUUCAUUAGUAAGAUUUUUGCACAUCAAACAAUUUUCUUCCGCUUUAAAAA